ACCGAGGGACAUAAAACAGUGUUGGAGAUCGGUGUGAGCGACGUGGCUCAGUGGUCAUAACGUCGCUCCGCCACCACAGGAUCAAAACUGUAGGGAAAUGGUGAGGGCAAGCAUAGGGCUUCUCAAAGAUGCAGGGAAUGGGGUCUCCAAGACUCUCUCGGAGAUACUGGUCUGCCCACUCUCCAAGCUACCCUUGAGAUAUUGUGAGGAAACGAAUUCUCUAAUCAGUGAAGCCAUUGGCGUUUCUUUUCCUAUAAAGGAUGGGAUUCCUUGCUUGGUCCCAAAGGAUGGCAAGAUAAUUGAAGCUGAUGACAUGCCGAAAACCGAUGAUGCGGCUGAUUCGUCUUCGAAACAUGAUUAAUAAUGAGGAGGUAGUGGGAGUUGGCCUCCCCUCCCCAAUAGAACUGCCUUUGUCAGGCUUAGCAUGGAGUUGCGCUGCCGAUUCUUUUACAGGAAGCUAAGAAGUGAGGCCUCCAAUUCCAAGACUGAUUAAGAGGGAGAAUACAACCAUUAUUUAUGUUCCUUCCUUUGUUGUUUACUGUUCACUGUGAGACCAAAAAAAUAAUUAUUAUUUUGCUUAGUGGUCGUGUUCUAUCAACAUAUUUCUUUCCGCGCCAGGGGCAUCCAAUGUUAUGACUAUUCACAGUCCAGAAACAUUUCUUGGUUUGCGUUUUAUUUUGUUGUAUCGAACGAUAUAACUAGUGCCGCUUCAUUUAAAAUUUUAAAUGUCAUUUCAACA